UUUGCUUUUAUUUUUUCAUGUUCAAGUGGUUGAAACCUUGAAAGAAGGUUGGAACUGAUUAACACACAGCAAGAAUCAGUGUCCUUUUUAAAUCACCAAGCUGGCAGAACAAGCUAGAGCGGCCUGGGCUGGCGUGCAUACAUAGCGGAUUUUGUCUCAGAAACACAAAACUAUGUAUUUUCAAGACAAAAUCUGCUACAUGUGUCUGCAUACAGAGUAACACUGUGCCUAUCUGUGCAGAUACAGGAAGCAGCAGACGGGAGUACAUUGGCUUUUCUGUUCUUGUGUAGAAAAUGCAGGCAGAGAAGAGCUGAUCUUCAGCCCUGCAUGCCAUUAGCCUCAGGAAGAGCUGGUAUCUUGUUACCUGCCCAUUGAUCUGCUGAUAGGCUGCUGGGGGGCAGGGGAAGAGAGCAUUUGACAUCAUGUCAGUUUGCAGUGUAGCAGUAAAGAGAGACUGAAGCUUAUCAAGUCACAAGGCUUAGGGGGCAUGGGAAAGUAUGAAAAUGGCUUGGCUCAUAUCAAAUUUCAAAUUAAAUACAUUGCAUAAGAAUAUCUACAGUAUUUUCCCUUUUAAAAAGCUGAUUCCAGUACAAGAUUCUGUUCAAAGCUAUCAACUAAUGUGUUUAGAAAAAAAAAAACAGUUUCCCUGUGACAGAAUCCCUCUAAACAUAUAAAGCUGUUCAUUAUACAAGGAGUGUAUGUGUAGACUGGUUAUUUUGUUAUGGGGGAUGUUUCUCCAGAGACCUAAAAACCAGAGAAUGUAUCUCUCCUAACAUAUCUGGUAAAAUAUGUCCCCAGAUAUCCUGAGGCUGUACCUUUGGAGAAGAAGAAACAAUUGGAAAAAUUCAAUCAACUAUUUGAUGAUGGGCAGGUUGUACUGGCCAGAGUACCAGAAGAAGAACCACCUAAUAAGGCGAUUCCCAUCAUCUCUUUCUUAUUUUCUCCCAAAUGAUUUAUCAUUAUGAGAGUGGGCCCUGGAUGUGAGGUUUACAGACACCAAAUGCGAAGUGGAGGAGAGGCCAGCCUAGAGUAACAUGGUGACAUACAGUUGGAGCAGAACAAGCAACAAACAUGGGGAACAGUCAUAAAACUGGACAAAGAAAGACAGAAGUGGAAGCCCUCUUUUGUCGCCGCCUUAUAAGCCAGUGGAUGUAACAAAGGAUGAUAACUAUUUUCAAAUACUUAUGUAGCAAUAGAAGUUAAAAAAAGUCUCCUGAUAAGUUAGAUACUGCAGAACAUAAACAAUAAACCGAGUAAAGAUUGCUCUGGUCUAGAGUAACAACAGGAAUUGAAAAAGGCUAAUGUCACAUGGGAUAGAGAAACCCUCAACAGCUCCCAGUAACUUAAAUAAAAGCCACACAAAGCCAACAAGUGUGAACCUUUCUCCACCUGAAAAUGGUUCUUCACCAGUAGAGAAUCAUGACAUGUGACAAUAGCCUAUGCAGUUAGCUCUUAUUAGUCGAGAUCAGUGAUCCCCUAUCAGUGGCUCCUAAUGGCCUCCAAGUAGGUGCCCAUUUUUAAAUUUUUGGCUUGAAGGCAAAAUUUUGGAAGCAGAGACACAGUU